CCAGCCCCGACUUCAUCCCGUCAUCUCUAAAUCGCGAUUUUGGCCAGGCUAACUACUUGCAACCCAUCGUGACGGGUUACACCUCAACGUAGACGCGACAUGCUGAUCCGCGAGGCCGAGCCGCAGACCGCGACUACGACCGUUUCUACUCACUGUAUGACGUGAGCCCUACUAUAAGGCCAUGAGGACUCCGAUCCCUACCCGGUUUAGUCAUUACCGGCGUCCCAUUAGAGUGCCCUUUCGUAGCAACUAAUGACAGGGCUGCCGCGGGAGACCCGAGACGACACGAGCGAUCACAGCCAUGCUGGUUCCUCUGCACACCCAAAUCCCUUCGGGAUUACAUCAUGGUAGGCAUCUCGCGUUGCAUCGAACUAUCCACAUCCAACCGCUUGUGCUCUCGUCAAUCCUGGAGUUUUAUGCGAGCCUCCCCAGGCGGCGUUGGGCUGUUAUCAAGUUCGAAGGCCUCAACAGCGCGCCACGUUUAGGGCGUGGACUACCAGGGUAGUUUCACGCUUUCGCAUGAGCGUCAGCUAUUUAGAAGGUUGCCUGCCAUCGGUGUUCCUCCGCGUGUAGCAGUGAAAUGCGUAGAUAUGCGGAGGAACACCGAUGGCGAAGGCAGCCUCCUGGGAUAACACUGACGCUCAUGCACGAAAGCGUGGGGAGCAACAGGAUUAGAUACCCUGUAGUCCACGCCCUAAACGAUGUCAACUAGCUGUUGGGGCCUUCGGGCCUUGGUAGCGCAGCUAACGCGUGAAGUUGACCGCCUGGGGAGUACGGUCGCAAGAUUAAACCUAAAGGAAUUGACGGGGACCUGCGUACAAGCGGUGGAUGAUGUGGAUUAAUUCGAUAAACGCGAAAAGCCUUACCUACCCUUGACAUGUCUGGAAUCCCGAAGAGAUUUGGGAGUGCUCGCAAGAGAACCGGAACACAGGUGCUGCAUGGCUGUCGUCAGCUCGUGUCGUGAGAUGUUGGGUUAAGUCCCGCAACGAGCGCAACCCUUGUCAUUAGUUGCUACGAAAGGGCACUCUAAUGAGACUCUGGUGACAAACCGGAGGAAGGUGGGGAUGACGUCAAGUCCUCAUGGCCCUUAUGGGUAGGGCUUCACACGUCAUACAAUGGUCGGGACAGAGGGUCGCCAACCCGCGAGGGGGAGCCAAUCCCAGAAACCCGAUCGUAGUCCGGAUCGCAGCCUGCAACUCGACUGCGUGAAGUCGGAAUCGCUAGUAAUCGCGGAUCAGCAUGUCGCGGUGAAUACGUUCCCGGGUCUUGUACACACCGCCCGUCACACCAUGGGAGUGGGUUUUACCAGAAGUAGUUAGCCUAACCGUAAGGAGGGCGAUUACCACGGUAGGAUUCAUGACUGGGGUGAAGUCGUAACAAGGUAA
rnacentral:misc_RNA from 1 species